rnacentral:rRNA from 1 species
GACGAACGCUGGCGGCGUGCUUAACACAUGCAAGUCGAACGGAAAGGCCCUGCUUUUGUGGGGUGCUCGAGUGGCGAACGGGUGAGUAACACGUGAGUAACCUGCCCUUGACUUUGGGAUAACUUCAGUAAACUGGGGCUAAUACCGGAUAGGAGCUACUGCUGCAUGGUGGGGGUUGGAAAGUUUCGGCGGUUGGGGAUGGACUCGCGGCUUAUCAGCUUGUUGGUGGGGUAGUGGCUUACCAAGGCUUUGACGGGUAGCCGGCCUGAGAGGGUGACCGGCCACAUUGGGACUGAGAUACGGCCCAGACUCCUACGGGGGGCAGCAGUGGGGAAUAUUGCACAAUGGGCGGAAGCCUGAUGCAGCAACGCCGCGUGCGGGAUGACGGCCUUCGGGUUGUAAACCGCUUUCGCCUGUGACGAAGCGUGAGUGACGGUAAUGGGUAAAGAAGCACCGGCUAACUACGUG